GUAUGGGUAUACAUUUAUAUACAAAUAUUAGUUCCUUUGCCAAACAAAAGGUCUCUAGAAAGACCCAUUUCAUUGAAAAGGUACACACACACACACACACGUACACGUUUUAAUUAUGCCAAAUUGUUGCCCAAAAUUCGAUCGUCGAUGACUUCCUGCUUCAAUCAAACCACCCAGUUAACCCCCGUGGCGUUUCGUUUCCCAGACCCCCAACUCUGGCCACUGUGUGACGUUGUAAAUCACAGUGGACAAAGACGCAAUACAUAAUGUCCAUCGCUCAAAAAAAAAGGAUGUGCGACGUGCGCAGCAAUUAAAUAUCGACUUCAGCAAUCUCGCACGGAGACGAAUAAUAAGGUACUCGGUCCUGUGAGACGUACGAGGAAAUCAAUUUAAUAUAUUUAGAAAAAAAAACACAAAAAGCACACACAUAGAGCUGCUACCUUGUCGAGACAUGUUUCGAAACGUUUGCUCAGUGUGUGUGUGUGUGUGCGUUUGUUGGUGGUAGAGUUGCUCUGGUAUUUCGCUUUGUGGUGUGCGUCUGUACGGCCGUUGAAGGCCAGCUGAUGAUAAACCAACACCAAUCCCAGCUCCGUUUCCACAUGGCCUUGCUGCGCUUCGUUUGUGUUGCAAUCAACCCGUUUUUUUUUUAAAUGUGUCACACCGAAAAUGUGUUGAGCGAAAAAAUGAACCUAGCACGGGGGAAUGAGCAAGUUGAGCUCUUUUAAAAAUGUAUGAUUAAAUGUACAAUUUAAGCAGUUUUUAUUGAUUGCACUGCAAAUGUAAUGCCCGUUUGCUCCUCACACAGUAUCCGUGUAAAAACGUGCGAAGCGAAGCGUUUGCUCUGUAUGGGAAAAUAGCCAUCCAUCCAUCCAUUCUCACACGCUCGCUGUAGUGGUGUAAGCGCUGUGAGCAAAAUCAAAGGUCUCUUUUUUUUUUGUACCAUUACCUCCAACCUCGAGCAACCGUUUUUUUUUCUGUUGCAUUACCAUCUACUAUUCCCGUUUCCCCAAUCACCACCAUACAUUUACAUUCAUUUGACCGUUGCAGUGCAUCCGCAUGCACCCUACCAACGCAUACACACGCGCUCGCUCGCUCGUACGCACACACAUACCCGUAGCGUGUAUCGUCGUCGCUGGCGCAAGGGGUUAGUUCGUCGAAAGCGACGACCGUUACGUUCAGAAAGGUGCGAGCCGUCGGCCGAGACUGGUGCUGUUUUUUUUUGUGCCUUGUGCUUCCUCUGUCUGCUGAGCGCCGUGGCGUACGUGACGUGUCGUUGUAUUUGAAAGCGAGACAGCAAGCUAGUCGAGCAAUAGUGCUUGUGUGUGCGUUUGUGUGAAUGCAGAAUGAACGAGAUUUUGUUUCCUUUUUCAUUGUGAAAGUAGCAGCUUCACGAUGCACGGAAAACCAGCACCGGUCGAGACAGCUACGCAUCUUUCUCCUAUCCUAACUCUGCUUUUCCUUGCCAGAAUUUUUUAUGGGACCUGACUUGCAUUACUAUAGAGUGUGGCCAAUUGAUGUACAUCCUUCACUAAAGGGCGAAAGAAGCCUACGGUACUGGAGAUCACUUUUCUAUUUGACGGUUCUGGCGGCGGCGUUUUGCAUUCCUGCUUCGAGCAAAAGCAAAGGAGGCGAACGAAAAAAAAAAACAGAGAGUGAGAGAGACAUACGAGGAAAGCGAAUGGCACUGAUGGAAAAUCUUUCAAGGAAGGCCACAUCUUCUACCCAAGCUUCCAGGCGGGUAUAAAAUGGGUGUACUUUUGUUUUUUUUUUCUCUCUCUAUCAUAUGGAAAGUAUUUUCGUGGCAAAAUCGGGCAAAUUUUAGCUUUCUUUGACAGCCGUACCUCCUCUCGACUGCCCCCAUCCGUCUUUCGACCAUUAUGAGAACCGCCGGCACUACCACUGUAUACACUUAAGGGCCAGCAGCUGCGCUUUCACGGCAACGGGCAACCCCUUUUGUGCACCCAGAUCUGACGAAUAUUUAGCCCACGCGCUGCCCACGUGUGACAUUCGUGGCUUUGGGACCAAUUUCCACCUUUCUACACUAAGUAUCAAAUGUAAAUGGGUUUGAGUGUUGGGCCAAUCCUCGGUGAGAAGUGAGUUACUUGUUUUGUGACAGGAAAAAAAAGAUGUCGUAUUACACCUCACCUCGGUGGGGAGGAAAAACAGUGGGGAACAGGCCCGUCAUACCGUGUCCCAAUGAUGGAGAAGCUUCCGGCUAGCCGGCGUGCCAGAGCAGUCUUCCGAAGAAGAAAGGUAUCUUUUGUAAUCGUACUUAAUUUCAACGACAUUUUUUUGUUUUUCCUCUUAGCAAAACCUGCCAUGUGGUGCAGCAAUAGAGCGCAUACAAAAAUACGUAACACUUUUUCCUUCACUUACGUUUCUCACAUCUCACCGAGUGAUGCCUCAUGGCGUUUUAGUAAACGGCCAGAAGAGUAGAUUUGCGAAACCAUUUCGAGUCGUGCUGACUCGCUUAAUGCACACCGAGCUGUUUAGCUUCGCCCCCUUUUUUUAGGAUGCAGCGUCGUAUUGAGAUGGGAUACAAUCGUAGAAUUAUAAGGACGCACAAUCACAUGUGUAAGAGACAUGUAAGAGAGAGCGAGAGAGAGAGAGAGCUCGGCGAAACCUCAAGGGACGUCCGUUCGGCUAAAAAGCGGUGGCGACCCGCUGUGAAGACGACUUGAUCCCGACCAAAGACAGCGAGCAGGUGCAACUGGUAGUGUGGUGUAGAUUUGCUUAUCACCUCCCUAUUCUCAGGUUGCGCUCCUCCAUUGCCUGGACUACCACUGCCUUCACACUUCAGAAUACGCGCAGUUGCGAAGGAUGGGGAACGAAUUGGGCUCACACUGUACUGGAAUUGCUACGUCUGUAGGAAAAGGGAUUGCUCCAGCUCAUUCCAAUCGGUUCAUUAUGACAUCCAAUACCCGGGCCCCUCAUCAUAAAAUUGUAUCUCCUCAUCAUAGAAUUGUGCAACGCGCCGAAGACAUCUCCUGGCUCGCGCUUAGGCGUACCUGCGCACGGGAAUGAUAUGGAAGCUGUUUCCAGUUUUGCAAGUUACUAGCGACCGUUUUCAAAGAUGCCUAUCGUCUUCGUACCAUUGCGUCCAGACGAUUGGUCAGUUUCAUCCAGCUGCACUACUACCCCAACUGGGCCACUGGUUGGCAAUAAGUGGCUGUGGAUUAAAGUAUCUGAUGGCGGAGAAUGGAGUUGGUCUACAACCGCGCGAGUGUGUCUACUGCAUUCUUCUAAGGCGUGUGGUCGCUGCGUGAUGGCGGGUUUUGGAGACGUCAGCGAUGGUGCAACCUGCCCAUCGCUUCGUUGCAGCUUGCUGUCUGGCCAAUUUUUCUCUUCACUCAUUUUUUUUUGUCUCCUCGGAAGACGGGCAUCAGACAUGCAAUAGAAGCUACGACGUGUAUAGAAGAACGUCUUCACGCUGUUCCAGUUGGAAGAAGCUGGUGGAGACCUAACUCGACGAGCGCCCAGCUUUUGUGUCUACUUCAUCCCUCCUGGCAACGUUUAGAAUGUUGCUAUGUUUCACCGAAGGAGAUGUCUCGUCGAUGUGCCAUGGCAUGUGUGCCAUAGGAGUUUGCGCGGUCCAUCCAGAGACCUGUGGAUGCGCACUUGGGCGCUAGUUCCCCUCACGUUGGCUCUGACUGUAGCUUGGACCAGCGUUUCGCAAAAAGUUUCUCUCGAAAGCCCAGGCAAGCGUGAAGAGGAAGCAGACAGUCGCGAGAAGAUGGGCCCAUCAUCGGUUAGGGUUUUCGGUUCCGGAGCGGCGGGAUGGCGGGUUCCUGUGGUGGUGGUUGCGGCGGCGGCUUCCGGGUUCCGGAGGAGACGGUUUUGCUCGGCAAGCGCGAAGAGCCCCUGGACACGGACAGUGUGCCAGCAGGUGGCCAGCGAGAAGAGAGCAAAAUCCAACGACGGCUUUUAUUCUAGAAGAUGGCAGACUACGGCAGAAUCUCUUGAAAGGUGACGUCAUUUUUGCGUGACUGCCCUUUUGAUGCAAGUGCGCGGUCCAAUGUCACCGAAUGGUCGCCAAUGAUUUGAAUGGGAUAUUUCUGAGCACUAUCCUAUGGCUAUGGCGUAGAGCGUACGGAGCGCAAAGAAAUUGAACAUUAGAUCCAGCGUCGGAUGGAAGAGAUUUAACCAGUGACAUAUCAAGAUUUAAGGAACUAAUUGGAUAAAGCUUUAAUGUAAAGAUGGAUCAUCUACAAAGAAGUGCUUUCUGACACAUGCGAAUGUUUCCUGUUUCGCUUGUGUCAACACGACACCAGCGUUUGGUUGAUGUGUACCCCAGCACACUAGACGAACACAAUUGCAGAGAUACAAGCUAGCUUCAGCUACGAUACACAUUCUAGCAACCACAUUUCCAAGCGUUGCAAAAUGUUGCACCAUCUUCAAACGCUUCCCUGAUGAUGUUGAUGAUCCUAGUUUGUUGCGAUGUUACGACACCGAAGAUGUACUGCGAUGCACACAUUGCCCCUGAUAUUCGACUGGAAUGUAUUCUCUACCCCUGAUAUGACAUCACACAUAUAGACGACCAAGUUGGUUACCUGCACAAUCGUGUCUGCAGUACAUGCGAGUGCUCCAAACCUGUAGGAAGAAUUCUGCGAAUGCGGCCUACAGAUUGGGGCAGCUCUGAUGCCACACGACGUUACGUUUUCUAAACUCUCCGAGGCUUUCAUUUCUGCUCAUCGAAGUUCCAAACCUUAUCAGCAUAUGCUUCUCACAAGUUUCGUGCAAACAUACACCUUGAAGAUCGGAAGCUCUGGAAGAGCAAAUCAGUUACUAGCUGCUGGAAACACGCAAGAGUACUGGAGAGAGGCUAAUAAUACACUCAGGUGUACAGAAUGGGUUCCACAUUCCUCUGAGAUUCACGUACGUGAGGGAGAUCUUCUACAACAACUUCAGAACACGGUUCCACGCGCGCUUAGGUGUUUCUGCAUCUGCGUAAGUGGAUACUUGAUCAUACAUUUAUAGGACAGGCGAUAUCGUUCACCAAGAAGUUCGAAACAUUGUGCUGCCAAAUAUCAUCCAGCAAUCAAGAAUCAAUUGGAUACAAGAUUGACGUCGGCUUCUCAACCUGACUAGUGACCGUCCGCUGCUAUGCAGAUGGUGUAGUUUUGUUUUGUUGCAAGGCGCUUCAAGUUCAAUCAACCCGUGUGCUCAAAAGUAGUUGUCCUAGCUCGAUCGUUUCGUGCUAGACAACAGGACCGUGUGUGUGCGUAUGCGUGUGGGCUUUUUUCCUCCUUGGAAGAUCUCGCAAGUGAUCGGAUGUUCCCGCCCAAGGGCUCACAGAAUGGAGAUCGGAUCAUAACGAGUUCAAAGCUGCUGGUACGCUUGCCACACUUUGGUCGUCCUCGUUGGAAGGAGAAGUCACAUCAGCAUCUUUGAUGUCCAUGUGGUACCCUUCAACCCACCACGGCCGCACACAGAUGAUGCUUUGUUCCCGAGUUUGUACGGUCGAUUGCGCAGAGCCUUGCGAUGCACUUCGGUCUUGUUUCCAUGUGCAUCUGGAUGCUGUUGAUAUGGAGGCGGCAGAAAGGCAGUAUUUGUUCUCGAAAGCCCAGGCAAGCGUGAAGAGGAUGCAGAAAGUCGCGAGAAGAUGGGCUCAUCGGUUAGGGUUUUCGGUUCCAGAGCGACGGGAUGGCGGGUUCCUGUGGUGGUGACGGCGGCGGCGGCGGCGGCGGCGGAGGCGGAGGCGGAGGCUCCAGGGUUCCAGCGGCGACGGUUUUGCUCGGCAAGCGCGAAGAACCCCUGGACACGGACCGUGUGCCAGCUGGUGGCAAAGCGAGAAGAGAGCAAAAUCCAACGAUGGCUUUGAUUCCAGACGGCGCGGAGUACGUUUCGAACCGUUUUGACGAGAGUGUUCGAACGCGAAUGGUGACGUCAUUUUUGUGCGAAUGCGUUUUAAGACAUAAGCGCGCCACUAGUGUCACCGGAAUGGGUUGGAAAUGAUUUGAAUGCGGCAUUUCUGGGCAUUAUCUUUGAAAUGGUUGACAGUAUCAUUGCUACGAUCUAGAAAGUAUAGCGAAAGCGAGGAAGUUGAACAUUACUCCAAUUCAUUCUUGAAAGGCGUACCACGGCUUAUCACAACUUUGAACUGAUUGUUACGACCCAUAUCGAAUAUCUUGCGAACCUUGUACUGUUGUUUACGUUGCAAUAAUUUCAACCGAAGCACUUUAGAGAUGGAUAGAGAUGUUUCGAUUGUCGGCUUUUGUAUUAUCUUAUCGAUACAUGACUAUUCUUUCCUGACAUAAUCAAAAUCAAACAUGCGAGAGGAAGAUGCGUAUUAUUAUUUUAUGUAUAUCUACUCACACAAAACCAAACCAUAAGAUAGAGUUGCCAUCAUGUAGAUGUUCCCAAAGUCUCCGAAGGCUAUAAACAAAAACACGAUCCUAUACUGUAAUCUAGACAUGGACACGUGCAAGAUUGAUAGUGCAAUGCCUAAGCAUACGCAUCUCGUUGCUGCAAAUUCUUUGAAGAAUCGUGCACUAUAACAGAAAACAUUGAUUGCAAAGUGAUUACGAUGAUGAAGCAAUUAGUAACCUUUUCCGCGAUUAGGUGCCGCCUCAGGGUGACCUAGAAAAACCAGUCUACCUCUAGAAAUGCUUUCAAACUUGAAGAGGAAUUUAUUCCCAUGGCAAAACAAAAACAAAAAAAGACUACAUUGAAGGUUGCCGAGACGACUAGAAAAAUGCUUUGUUGUACUGUGUUAGCAGGCAUUGAGUAAAGCAGGACGGUUGGAGGUAUAGAUCGAAUGUUGAACUAUCUAUACGAACUCUACCAAAACCGCGAGGCAAGAUAUGUGAACACAAAAAUAAGCAAUUCUGAAGCUCUCGUACCAAACUGAAGCAAAAACGUGAAGUGAACACAGUGGAAUCAAAACACAAUCAAACAAACAAGGACAGGACCUGUGGGAAUGCGGGCGGGCAAACGAAAAAAAAAGCGGAUUGAGUUUUUAUUUUAUUUUAAGAAAACGUACUUACCAAAGAUUCAGUGAAAAUAAGGAUAAAAGAACGCCAUUACGAUUCAACUGGUGACAGAUGCAUUAUCUCUGACGUGUGCGAGAAUCAAACAUUCUGGGAGCUUAAGCUCAAAACGAUCGUUUUUUAUGUACGAAAACACCCCCUACGGACACAUUGUUUAUCGACGGCAAAGAAUAAAUUGCAAUCGCUUUGCAGGAUCUCCGCACCCCCCCUCUCCCGGGGUCGUGGAGAUUUUGGGCAAUGCUGAGCCUAGUUGAGUUGUUGUAAAAAAGAAGGACAGAAUCAAGAAAAGAGGAAAAGAUUAUUUAAAAAAGCAGCCGUUUUUGUGUGUUAAACAUUUUCUGCUUUAACUUGUUUGUGCAAACUGUUUGAUGGUGCCCCGUAUCCUCCCGUUCAUAUCCGUCACGGAAAACACCCCCGUGCCCCAACACACCCGGGCCAUGGGGGUGGUGCAAACCAGAACCAAUUACUCUACCGGGCGGUGGGAGGAUCUCAACCGAAGGGGCAGAACUGAAACAAACCAAUUACUAAAGAAAAAAAAAAAAGGACUCGAAUAAAACUACAAAUUCCAUUUUCAAACGAAACCGAUUCUUUUUUGUUGAAGAAAUUUUUUGCCCAACACAAUUGGACAGUAGUGUGUCGUGUAUUUGCCGUGUAUUGCGUUUGGUAAAAUCUUUUCGUUUGCUUUCGUUUUUUGUUUUGUUUUUCAUUUAUUCGCAAAAAAUUGUUCGUUUUUUUUAAACUGAUUUUUAACCCUAUACCAAAAACAAGUGCACGCGGCGCUCUAGCAUUGACAUUUCGAUGUGUACUAUUCACCAACCCACCAACACGCUGGUUGUAUUGGCGGCGCCUUUUCCAUCAUUUUUCUCUCUGGCUCGCGGGCACCGCCCAAGGUAUGGCCUUUCGAUCGCUCGAGACGGCUUGAUGCGUGUGUGUGUGUUGCAUGUGCUCGCUAAGGAGAGAGGUGAUAGGCAACGAUCGUGUAGUCGCCCCACUAACUCUUAAAGAAAGAAGAAAAGAGGAAAAGUUUGCUGUCCAAAACUGGCUAAAUCACGGUUCCGAAACGCAAUGUGUGAGUGCGUGUGCGAACAGACCCGGUCCCAAGCGGAACAGGAAGAGAGAGAGAGAGAGAAAGAGAGAGAGAGGAAACAGGCAAACACUAGUUUUGCACGAAAUGCUCGAAAAGUAAACCGCCCGCAGUUUUGACGCAAGGGUGUGUCCUGUGUGACUGCUGCACGAACGAAGCGCAGGUAACGUGUCCCAUUAGUGGGCGCACAAAACCCUCGAAAAAGACCGCACCGAAUGGUAAACUUACACUCUGUUACCAAUUUUGUUUCGAUUUUAGUAUCUGGCGCUUAAUUAUAAUGCGUAGUGCGUGCGCACGUUUGCCCCACGUUUGGUCAAUUAGUGUUGAUUAUUGUGAAGAUCACACGUUUGCGGACAGGAACAGCGAACAGCACAGAUGCUAUACACCGUCAGGGAGUUCGUUACAUGCGUGUGAAAAGUAGUCCGAGCGAAGCGCGAUUUCGAAUCCGCCAACAACUUAAAGACGUACGAAGAAAUGAAGGAGAAAACGACGGUGUAGAAGGAACAGAAACUAGACCAAGCGUGCGCACGAAUGCGUAAGCAGGAAGGAGUUGCGCGGAGUGAGACUGUAAGUGGAAGAUACAGGAUGUAAGAUGAAGGAUGAAGAUUACUCCACUAGAUGUGUCGAUGAUCGAUACAAUCGAGAAGGAAUCGAGCUGUUUAUAUGCAGCUAUUGCGCGUUAUAGUUCCGAGUGCUCCGUAGUCUGUUCUCUAGACGCGUCGGCUUCUACAAGGCCGGAUGGGAUAGAUUCCCUCUCGAACUGUGGCCGGAAAAGGACCUUUUUUUUAUCUUCUUUAUCCACCUGCGUGGAACUUUUACCAAGUGUAGGAGGGCCUUAUCUCUAGAAUGGCCCGGAUGUACUUUUGUGGUUCCAAAUAAUGAAUAAUGGUUUCCAAAAAAACAAAACCCCCCACAAAGGUCACAUGCUCCACCGCGCAUGAUAUAAGGGUCACGUGAACCACCAAAUGCGUCUCUUUCUCUCUUCAUAGUCACUCCCACACCAAUUGUCAAAUAUCCUGUGCUGUCGUCUCCCCCCUCCCUCCCCCCUCUAACGAAGCGGGCCCUAGGAAAGUGUGUGCAUGUGUAUAAUAAGUGUUGUACUCCUUGAAACGCUCAAUCGCGUUCGCGCGGGCAUACAUUCACUUUCUUUUCGAUUUUCCUGCCCCGUAUCGUCAGAACCUUCGCGAUCCGUGUGGCAAUGAGUGUGUGUGUGCUGCCGUGUGUGUCGAGGCGUUGGAGAGACCAUCACCACCAUCCUUGCGCGGGUAUGCCGUCACACGGCGGCCGCCAGUAACUUCAAACACAUCUUUUCUGUACUUUGCUCUUCCUUUUUUUUUUCUUUUUUCCCUCUCUUUCUCUCUCUCUCUCUCUCUCUCUUUCUCUUUUUCUCUCUAUCCAAACGUUGCAGCUUGUGUCUGGCCCGGAUGGUUCCGGCAGCAACAGCAACAUCAGCAGCACAACUGCCAGCUUCCCACGCCGCCACCCCAACAACCGAGUGUGCGCCAAGUUUGUGGAGCUUUGUGUGUGUGUGUGUGUGUGUGUGAGUGUGCAAGUAUGCGCGUGAUCCUUCAUGCGAAUAUCAAUAUCUACAUGUAUGUAAGAAAUUAGCAAAAACAUCAGCAACAACUACUCUUGCAAAUCAUCAUGCCGUCAUGGUUCAGUGACACACCCGCUCGGGGAGGGGCUGGAGAAGCUGGGGGCUUUCGGUUGGGAGUGGCCCCUCGGGGCGGAAGACGUCGCCGGGUAGUUCCGUCCUAUCCUUGUGUGGUGGUGGUGGUGGUGGUGUGUGACCGAGUGGUUGUGAGCGUUCCAAACGCUCCCGUCGCCUCGCCCGUGGUAGUGUCCAGACGUGUCCCGUGUCGUGUGUACGUGCCUUCUGCACCCCCCCGCCAUGCGUCCCAUAGCGCCGACUCGCACGCGUUACGCCGCGCCCUCGAAUCUCCGGCAACGAGAAGCGUCCUCCGCUGGCCCUGCCGUCCCUUUUCCGCGGUGGGUGCUGGUGUGCGGGCGCGUACAUUUAGCUUACAUAGACUAAGUUUCUUACUCUUCCUUUUCGCGGCUAGAUCCGUGUCUGUCGCCUGCGGGCGAGAGACGGGGCGCUUCCACGAGUGGCUGUGCGGUGCUGGCGCGGCCGGCCCAUGUCCGCGACGAUCCCUCCGGCGGCGCUGUCCUGCGCCUGGGGUGUGCUCUGGCCUGCCGGCCUGGCCUGUAAGUGCGCCUGUCGCUAUGUGCGUGUGAGUGUGUCCAUGUGUGCGUGCCCCCCUUAGUGUUGUGAGUGUGCGUGUGUGCGCGUGUUCCACGAUCGCCACAUUUCGACCGACGCCAGCCGGUCCGCAGUGCCGGAGCAUAGUGUGUCCCCCCCCCCCCCCUGGCGGGAAGCACCGCCGCGAGACCGCCCGGCCGUGGGUCUCCGGGCAGGCCGGGUAAUCUCGCACAGUCGCGGCGCCCCUUUCCGCAAUGGAUCUAACAACCUUCCAGUGUGCAGUUAAAUAGCGUAUAAUGUUACGAGACCCCCACAGCCACAGAGAACAGUACGAAACGAAACCACAAUUUGCACGCGCUCGCCGAACGCCCGCUCCAAAAAACGGCGAUCAACCGAGAUCACGAGUCGACGUUAGCUGCGCGUUCACGAGAGCGGACACUUUGGAGCGGGCCAGGGGGGGCGCCCUAACACCUACGAUAGAUAUAUAUAAAUUAAAAAAAAAACAAACGCCCCAACCCAGCGCGCGUUCUCUCAGCGACUCAGAAGCGAGCGAUCAAACGGUUAAACGGUUUCUUUUUUUCUUUUCGCUCACUUUUCUACGAUCCGGUCCGUGCCGCUGCUGCAUUCGGGCGCGGCCGCUGCGAGCUGGCUCGCGCGGCAGCAAACGGUAGUGUGUUUGCGCGUGCGUGUACGUGUGUGUCGGUGUGUUUAGGUGCGCGUACGCAACACGCGGACCGUUACGAUCCUGGUCACGGCACCAGUUAAAAACUAAAAGAAAACAGGUGUGACUUAACAAACGGGUGCACUACCACGGUCAAGCAUGGGGCACGGUUGAGCGCCGACGGGUAUUUGGUCGGUGGUCGAUGAUUACGCUGACCUUGUUACUUUAAACGUUACGAUGAUGGUCCUUUGCCAAGAAGGUUUAUCAUUUCUCCUGGACUGUUUCUCCCUUUUCCACGAGGAUUUUUCUCCUUUUCUCAUAAUUUCUUUUUUUUUUGCCAUAUUACAACACGUUACGUUACGUUACAAUGCGUUACGUAGCGUUACGUUACCAUGCGUUACUAUGCGUUACAUUGCGUUAUGUUGAUAAAAAUCGUUUCCCCCUUUUCUCUUUCCCCUCCUUCCCCCUCCCCUCCCUCUCGUCUCAACAGUGGCUAGAUGCGCACGUGCGUUCUUCUGAUCGACAGAAUUUCAACGGCUCGGCAAGAUGGCGGUACCAUUUCGCCCGGUGGGCUGCGUCUGCGAUCUACCAUCGCGCUAAUGACGUGUACGUGCGCUACGCGAGUGUGUGUAUGUGUGUGUGUGGGAAGCAAAGGAUCUCCCUCUGAAACAGCGAGGAGACGGAUCGAGCCCAGGUUCGGGACGGUACUGUUCGCCCGGGGAGCGGCAAGCGUUACCCAUGCUUGCUCUCGCUGGUUUGUUUUUUUUUGCAACGGUCCGCGCCCCCACCUAGUCCCGACCCGUUCCAGGAUCCGUAGUGCAAAUGAAAAUGCAAAAAAAAACAA